UGUUGAGCUUGACUCUAGUCCGACGUUGUGAAAUGACUUAUGAGGUGUAGAAUAAGUGGGAGGCUUUGCCGACGAUGAAAUACCACUACUCGUAAUGUUGUUUUACUUAUUCCGUGACGUAGAAGCCAGUCGGAAGACUGAUUCUAGUGUAAAGCCGUUUCGUGCGGUGAUCUACGCGGGAGACAACGUCAGGUGGGGAGUUUGGCUGGG
rnacentral:rRNA from 1 species